AGACAGACAGCGGGGCUAGGAGAUGCCCAGGAUGAAGCCCGGAGACCUGCUCUCUGAUUCCUCUUGGGUCUAGCUCAUCACAGCCUGCUUCCCCACUCCCACUGCAACGUGACAGCAACAGCACAUCUCACUUUCCAACAUGCAGACAGCCCCCUGUGUUAACAGCACCGUCUCUGAAAUCAGUGGAGCUGCAUUUGACCCUACCUCCGUCAGGCCGUAGCUGACUUCAAUACUGAGCAGAUACAAUCUGUUCCUCAAAGCUACUGACAUAUAGUCUGCCUAUGAUGGGAACAAAUGGGAAACUGAGGUAUAAGAAAAUAAGUGGGAGGCUUCUCCAGCCAUAUAUGUGACAGAGACCCCAGACCCAAACCAAGCCAGAGAGUCCACUAUAGCAGACAGGAACCAAGGCAUUGAAGAUGUGUCUAAUUUUCUACUAUUCCUCACAAUAAACAUUCUCAUGACUCGUCUUAUUGUGCGCAUCUGCAAAAGGCUGUCUAAAGGAGUGGUUCUCAAAGUGUGGUCGCCUGCAGCAGCAGCAUCACCUGGGAACAUGUUGGAAAUGCAAAUCCACUCCUUCCUCGGACCUACUGAACCAGAAACUCUAGGAGUGGGGUCUAGCAAUACAUGCUUUAACAAGCCCUCCGGGUGAUGCUGAAUCAAGCUAAAGUUUGAGAACUGCUGCUUGAGGGUGACCUAAAUGGACACAUCUCACAUCACUAAACAAUGCUGAAUUACUCUCCAAAGGGGUUGCCCCAACUAUAUUCCCACCAGCAGUGUUUGAGAGUUACCAAUUUCUCAUACAAAACCAGCACGAUGUAAUUACAACCCUCUGACAGUUUCCGCCAUCUGUGGGUUAGGCAUCUUGUCAAAUGUUUAUUGGCCAAAUGGAUUCCCGUUCUUAUGCACUUUCAGUUUUCUAUUCAGUAGUUUUUAACCAUUUUUUAAUAAUUUGUAGACAUUAUUUGUGUUUUCUAAAAACUCAUACUUUGUUUUAUAAUCAAUAUGUUCCCAGUCUUUUAACUUUGUUUAUAUUGAGUUUGCUGUUGUUGUUGUUUUCAUUUAACAUCUUUAAGUUUUAUGUAGUAAAAUGUACAAAUCUUUUCCUGUAUGGCUUGUGCUUUUGCGCCUUGACUAAAAUGUAUUCUAAAAAAUGCUUGGAUUUUGAUUUUUAUACUUAGUCUUUAAUGUAACUGGACUUGAUCUUUGUGUAUGCUAUGAAGUAGACAUUUAAAUUUAGGGGCUUUUUUCAUAUUGAUAAUAUCCUUCUCCAUCAAUUGGUAAUGCCACCUCUCAUAAAUCCAGAUAUUCAAGAUAUUUAAGAUCCUGUGUGUUGACCAAGCUUUUGUUCUUAAUA
rnacentral:lncRNA from 1 species